GGACUCUGUGAUGGAUCUUCUUGCGUGGUGCUCGGAGGGCUCUUUGGAUUUCUGGACUUCUCAAGAUCCUGCUAAGGCCUCUCUGUUUCCUGACAACAACAAUAUUGAAAUUAGGCCAGUUAAUAACCCUACAGUGGUCUCUAAGUGUUCCAGUUAAGGAAGAGUUGCACCUCUCUUGCUUUAAACUGAUAGCUAGAAAUUGUGAAGCUUAGUGAGAAAGACCUGUUGAAAGCCUUGAAAACAAAAACUAUGCUUCUUCAGAGAAGAAAUUACUCCUGAAGGCUACAGCAUCAACCCUUAUGCAAGAGUUCCAGCCUGCUGACUUGCCUUGCUAUGGCUUUCGGACCUGCCA